rnacentral:misc_RNA from 1 species
UAAAUUAAUACUUUGGUUUAAUAUUGAAACAUUUUAAUAUAAUUCUUCAUUGUCGAAUUGUUGUCUUAAAAACUAAACUAAACAUAAUUUCACAAUUUUAUUUAAUAAUGACUCGAGACGAUUAUAAUAUUACUAAACUAAACUCAUUGAUUAAUUUCAAAUAAUAAUACUAAAUCACUGAUUUAGUCAUUCGAUUCAUCGCAAAGAGUAAGAAGAUUCUUGAUGAAAUUAUUGAGAUACGUUUCUUGCAAGUCUCUGCUGGAGAGGAUUUUGUUCCACUUGGCAUGAUUGCUCUUCACCAUCACACCCACUUCGCUAUUUGAGCUCAUAACAGAUUGGAUUGCGUUGCUCAAGCUCUCCUUGGAAAUCCACCCAUUUUCUCCUUUCUUCACUUCUAUUGCAACUUUAAGUUCUCCUACCAUUAGCAUGGUGUUUACAAUCUGAUCACCCACAUAUGGUACGAGAACUAUUUGGCACUUACUCAGCAGUGACUCCCACAUUGAACCAAACCCGCAGUGGCUGACGAAGCACCCAACAGAUGGGUGCUCUAGUAUUUGUGACUGUGGAACCCAGCACCCUGACACCCAUCCUCUUCCUUCAAUCCUCUCCUGAAAUUCCUCUGGUAAUGCUUCUUUAAUUGUUGAGCAUCCAUUUGGUGGUGUUAAAGCGACAAGAAAUGGCAGCCCACAUAGCUCGAAUCCAAGAAGCAGUUCUUGAAACUGAUUCU